GACGAACGCUGGCGGCGUGCUUAACACAUGCAAGUCGAACGCUGAAGCUCAGCUUUUGUUGGGUGGAUGAGUGGCGAACGGGUGAGUAACACGUGAGUAACCUGCCUCCUUCUUUGGGAUAACGCCCGGAAACGGGUGCUAAUACUGGAUAUUCACUGGUCUUCGCAUGGGGGUUGGUGGAAAGGGUUUUUCUGGUGGGGGAUGGGCUCGCGGCCUAUCAGCUUGUUGGUGGGGUGAUGGCCUACCAAGGCUUUGACGGGUAGCCGGCCUGAGAGGGUGACCGGUCACAUUGGGACUGAGAUACGGCCCAGACUCCGACGGGAGGCAGCAGUAGGGAAUAUUGCACAAUGGGCGCAAGCCUGAUGCAGCGACGCCGCGUGAGGGAUGGAGGCCUUCGGGUUGUGAACCUCUUUCGCUCAUGGUCAAGCCGCAACAAUGGUUGUGGUGAGGGUAGUGGGUAAAGAAGCGCCGGCUAACUACGUG
rnacentral:rRNA from 1 species